UGUUGAGAAGAAAGUAAGGGAGUCACUGUUAACAUGGCGCUCAGUCAGUUUCUGUGUGGCUUCACUGUGGUGAUCAUUCUCUUAUCCAAAGGUUGUCAGUCACAGGAUUGCGGCAAAGCUCCCACAAAUACCAGAAUCGUUGGAGGUCAGGAUGCGCCCCCAGGAAGUUGGCCCUGGCAGGUCACUUUGAUUGAAGACAAUGAGCACUUCUGUGGGGGGGUCACUGAUUAACAACCAGUGGGUGCUGACAGCUGCUCACUGUGUAAGAGGGUCUCCAAGUGUAACAGUUUAUCUGGGCCGCCACAGCCAGUCAGGUCCAAACAACAAUGAAGUGUCACGAGGAGUCACUAAGAUCAUUCUCCACCCUUUAUAUGACUUCCUGAGCAACAACAACGACAUAGCUCUGCUGAAGCUGUCGGCCUCUGUGAAUUUUACUGACUACAUAAGACCAGUAUGCUUGGCCUCAGCAAACAGCACUUUCCACACUGGGACUAACAGCUGGGUCACUGGUUGGGGGUGUUACUUUGCCUGAUG